rnacentral:rRNA from 1 species
CAAUAGCGUAUAUUAAAGUUGUUGCAGUUAAAAAGCUCGUAGCUGGACCUUGGACCUGGACAGGCGGUCCGCCUCACGGCGUGUACUGUCUUGCUGGGUCUUUCCUCUUGGUGAUCUGUUGUUUCGGCAGCAGGGAACCAGGACUUUUACUUUGAAAAAAUUAGAGUGUUCAAAGCAGGCUCGACGCCGGAAUAUAUUAGCAUGGAAUAAUAAAAUAGGACGUGCGGUUCUAUUUUGUUGGUUUUUGGAAUCGCCGUAAUGAUUAAUAGGGACAGUCGGGGGCAUUAGUACUCACAUGCUAGAGGUGAAAUUCUUGGAUUUUGUGAAGACUAACUUCUGCGAAAGCAUUUGCCAAGGAUGUUUUCAUUAA